AUGGAUCAAGGAAAGCUCAUCUUCUGGAAUGUGCGUGGCCUUAAUUGCGGUGCCAAAUGCUCUGCGGUCCGCUCGGUCAUCUUGAGUUCCCUCCUGAGCGUGGUAUGUUUGCAAGAAACGAAGCUUGAACUCUUCACUCCCGCCUUGAUUUGCGAAACCCUAUGCCCCAACUUUCGUGACUUCUUCUUCCUGCCGGCUCACGGCACGCGCGACGGUAUCCUGCUUGCUUGGCGCGCCUCGGAGGUCGCCAUCUCCAACCCGAUUUGAGGCCACCACCACAUCACCAUGCUCGUUUCCUCCCCCUCAGGUGAGCGGCCUUGGUGGAUCACAGGGGUUUAUGGCCCCCAAGAGGACGAGGCCAAGAUUGCCUUUUUGGGAGAGUUGCACGAGGAGCGCGCUGCCCACUCUGGCCCUUGGCUCCUAGGUGGAGAUUUCAACAUGAUCCUCUCUGGCACCGACAAGAACAACCAUUUGCUCAACCGGCGCGUCAUGCAUCGAUUCUGGCGUUUCAUCACCGAUGAGGAGAUUCACGAUCUUUAUAUGAAUGGCCGCCGCUAUACCUGGUCCAACGAGCGCGACAUCCGCAUUCUUGUGCGGAACGAUCGCAUCCUAUGCACUGCCUCCUGGGAGAACAUGGCUAACCAUGAUUAG
rnacentral:rRNA from 1 species